rnacentral:rRNA from 1 species
UGGGGAAUAUUGCACAAUGGGGGAAACCCUGAUGCAGCAAUGCCGCGUGAGUGAUGACGGCCUUCGGGUUGUAAAGCUCUGUCUUCAGGGACGAUAAUGACGGUACCUGAGGAGGAAGCCACGGCUAACUACGUGCCAGCAGCCGCGGUAAUACGUAGGUGGCAAGCGUUGUCCGGAUUUACUGGGCGUAAAGGGAGCGUAGGCGGAUUUUUAAGUGAGAUGUGAAAUACCCGGGGCUCAACCCCGGAACUGCUUUCAAAACUGCAUCCCUUGAGUAUCGGAGAGGCAAGCGGAAUUCCUAGUGUAGCGGUGAAAUGCGUAGAUAUUAGGAGGAACACCAGUGGCGAAGGCGGCUUGCUGGACGACAACUGACGCUGAGGCGCGAAAGCGUGGGGAGCAAACAGG